CCUACGGGAGGCAGCAGUGAGGAAUAUUGGUCAAUGUGCGCGAGCCUGAACCAGCCAAGUAGCGUGAAGGAUGACUGCCCUACGGGUUGUAAACUUCUUUUAUACAGGAAUAAAGUGAGGCACGUGUGCCUUUUUGUAUGUACUUUAUGAAUAAGGAUCGGCUAACUCCGUGCCAGCAGCCGCGGUAAUAAGGAGGAUCCGAGCGUUAGCCGGAUUUAUUGGGUUUAAAGGGAGCGGAGAUGGGUUGUUAAGUCAGUUGUGAAAGUUUGCGGCUCAACCGUAAAAUUGCAAUUGAUACUGGCAGGCUUGAGUACAGUUGAGGUAGGCGGAAUUUGUGGUGUAGCGGUGAAAUGCUUAGAUAUCACGAAGAACUCCGAUUGCGAAGGCAGCUUACUAAACUGCCACUGACAUUGAUGCUCGAAAGUGUGGGUAUCAAACAGGAUUAGAUACCCUUGUAGUC
rnacentral:rRNA from 1 species